rnacentral:miRNA from 11 species
UGUGUGUGUAUGUGUGUGUGUGUGUGUGUGUGUAUAUAUAUACACACACAUACACACACACAUACACACACACACACACAUAUAUAU